UACGGAGGGUGCAAGCGUUAAUCGGAAUUACUGGGCGUAAAGCGUGCGCAGGCGGUUUGUUAAGUCCGCUGUGAAAUCCCCGAGCUCAACUUGGGAAUUGCAGUGGAUACUGGCAAGCUGGAGUAUGGUAGAGGAAGGUGGAAUUCCCGGUGUAGCAGUGAAAUGCGUAGAGAUGUGGAGGAAUACCGAUGGCGAAGGCAGCCCCCUGGGAUAACACUGACGCUCAUGCACGAAAGCGUGGGGAGCAAACAGG
rnacentral:rRNA from 1 species